rnacentral:lncRNA from 1 species
UCCCCGUUUUUUCCUGUUUUUUCUCCAAUUUCCCUAUUUUUUCCUCGGCGUUCCCCAUUUUCCCCCUUUUUUCACUUGUCUUCUCCUUUCCCUCCCCCCUUUUUUCCCGUUUCCCCUGAUGUUCCCAGGUUUUUUCCCAGUUUUUUUCCCGGUUUUUCGGACGAGCGGUGGCAUUUUGGGAGCAGCGCGAGGACGGAACCUCCCCCCGCCCUCGAUCCCAGAAAUCCUCUGGAAGCCCCGGGAAAAAAAAAAUCGGGAAUUUCGGGACGGAGAAGCCGCGAGCCGGCCCCGAAUCGGCCCCAGAUCCCGGGAUUUUUUCCCGGGGGCAGCCGCGGCUGGGAAAAAAAUCGGAAAUUUCGGGUUGGAAAAGCCGCGAUUCUACCCCAAAUUCGGGAGGUUUUUUUCGCGGGAAUGACGCGAGGAGCUGCGGAAUGAGAGGGGAAGGAUCCCGGGAGUGGAAUCCCCCAAUUCCCAAACCCCCGGGAUCCAGGAAAUGUAGGAAAUCCAGGCACCGACCUGAGCAGGGAGCAGCGCCGGCGGAAAAUCGGGAAUUUUUCCAGGUGACCAAAGGGCAGCGGGGCGGGCCCGGGGCGGGGCCGGGAGCGAUCCCGAUGGGAAUUCCGGGAUCCAGGGAAGAGCUCUGGAAAGGCCAGGAGGGGUCAGGAUCACCGGGAAGGGCUGGGAUCCAUCACAGAUCCCAGGAUCCACCUCAGAUCCCGGGAUCCAUCCCAAAUCCCCGGAUCCAUCCCAAAUCCCCGGAUCCAUCCCAAAUUCCCAGAUCCAUCCCAAAUCCCCGAAUCCAUUGCAAACCUUUGGAACCAUCCCAAAUUCCCGAAUCCAUCCCCAACCCUUGGAUCCAUCCCAGCUCCAUCCUGGAGCAGGUGGAGAAUCCAUGGGGGGGGAGGGGGUUGGGAAUGUUCCCAGAUGGCUCCAGAAAAACCGGGAACGGGGGAGGGUCAGAAAACUGGGAGAGGAUUUGGAUUUUCCAGAAAUUCGGGAGAGGAUCGGAUAUUCCCGAAAUGAGGAAAUUGGGGCAGGAAUUGCUCCUUUGCUCUCCCAGGAUUUCCAGGAUUUCACUGGAAAACUGAAAGGAAAGAAAACAGGAAAAUGGAAUUUUGGGCCUGAAAAAAUGGGGGAAAAGCAGGAAAAUGCAAAUUUUGGGGCUGAGAAAAACCAGAAUUUUGGGGAUUUCCCUGGAAAAACAGAGGGAAAAAAAAAGCAGAAAAGGGAAUUUAGGGCCUAAAAAACCCCAAAAAUGGGAGUUUUCCCUGGGAAUGGAGUCAGGAAAAAUCAGGAGGGGCAAUCCCGGCCCCUUUGGAAGGGCGGAAUUUUGGGAAUUUUCUGGCUGGCCGGGAUCCAGGGAAGCACAAAGAGCCUUUGUGGCUCCGACCCAGAAAAAGCCGUUUUGUAAUUCCCAGAGUGGCCGGAAAAUCUGGGGGAAAAAAAUAAAACUGGAGUUCCUUUUCCA